UACGUAGGGGGCAAGCGUUGUCCGGAAUCAUUGGGCGUAAAGCGCGUGUAGGCGGCCCGGUAAGUCCGCUGUGAAAGUCCAGGGCUCAACCCUGGAAUGCCGGUGGAUACUGUCGGGCUCGAGUCCGGAAGAGGCGAGUGGAAUUCCUGGUGUAGCGGUGAAAUGCGCAGAUAUCAGGAAGAACACCCGUGGCUAAGGCGGUUCUCUAGUACGGUACUGACGCUGAGACGCGAAAGCGUGGGGAGCGAACAGG
rnacentral:rRNA from 1 species